UACUUGGAGUAGUGAAAUGAUGUUGGAAU
rnacentral:piRNA from 1 species